CCCCGCGCGGAGUCGCUCCCCCGCCCUUACCGCCCGGCGGGCGCUUCCUGAACUCGGCUCCGGCGGCUGCCGGCGCGCCGGCGGGGUUGGAGAGUGAGGGGGCCGGGGGCCGGCGGCGGCCCCCUCUGCCUGGGGGAGGUCCGUUCUGCCCCCGCCCGCGGCGCUGGGAAGUGUGUGCUCCACCUGCCAGUUGGGCCCGAGGGGACGCGGAGCCGGCCCCGCGUGCAACCGCGUGCCCUCAGCCCCGCGAGCGCAGGGUCCGAAGUCUGGGGGCGCCGGCGCGCUGAGGGGAGCGAGACUCGACGCGCUUGCCCACGAAGGCCCAAGGACCACCCCCAGGAGCAUCCAGUUGUGGGAGGCACUGGCAGGAGACGGGAGCGAGAAGGACCCUGAGGCCUGGUGACUUGUUCCUGAGAUCAGCCCUGCUGGGUCACAGAGUUGAGAGAGAAGAGAGAGAGAGAGCACGCGUGAGCAGAGGAGAGGAGCAGACAGAGAGAGAGAGAGAGAGACAAUCCCAAGCAGGCUCCAAGUUCAGUGGGUUUUUACAGUGUCAACACCAUGUAACUGCCAGCCAACUCGAUCAGGAUAUAGAAUGUUUCCAUCGCCUCAGAAAGUUCCCCGUGCCCUUUGCAGUCGGUUCCGGGCCCCGGGAAACCACCCAUGUGCGUGCUUUCCGGUUACGAGAUCGGCUUUGCCUAUUCAAGAAUGUUCUGAAUGUUCUCGGCGACACCACAGCCUGAGUUCUCCUGAUGGCGUCGUGAUGGGGAGACACGUUUGUUUGAAACCUGUUCAUAAAAAAACACAAUUUUGAUUUUGACAAAAAGAAGAAUUGAUCGAGAAACCCCUGGAACCAAGGACUUGAGGGCGAUGAGGACACUCCAUCCCUGUCACCCCUCCUCCCUGCGUGUGGGUUCCGUUCGUGCUCACCGACUUCCUCUCCCGGGUGACACAGCCUGUGCGGCCCCGUCGCCGGAGCCUGGGCGCCGGGGAGGGCGGUGUUGGCCGCACCGCGUUUCAGCGCUUAAAGCCUCGAGGGAGGGUUCCGGUUGUGCGGAGGUCGGGUGCCUGCCCCAUCCGUCAACUGUACUCAGGGUUUGGAGGGUUUGCGGCCGAGCACGUACCUCCAGCCAGGACUGUGUGAUGGGGGCUGUGGAGCAGACGACCCCUCAGAAUAAAAGGGAAGUGCCGCUGGACAAAACGAUACAUGUUCCUACAAAACCAGGCCAAUAAAGACCCGUCUUUUCUUGAGCCGGGAGGGACCUCCUUCACAGUGGACAUAACGCCUCGAUUAUUUGGCAAAUACUCACUCCCCUCCCGCUGCAGGAGGGGCCGUGUGAUCCGCAGCGUCCGGGGCGGUGGGGGCUCGAAGCCCGUUUCCGUGUGGGGCUCACGCCCUUGUGCGUCGGUCUUCUCCAGCAGUGGCACACAGGCCACUCGUCCCUCAGGGACGGGAGACGGCAGAGCGGGGCCGUCCCAGCCGCGUGCACAUCUGGCACCGGGGUCGGCUCCCCCGUCUGCCCUGCUGCGCCCACACCCGCGGGCACGCGGAGCCCCCAUCGGAGCGCUGCACGGGGCCGGGGGGCUCCUGACGCAACAGCAUUACUGCAGGGGAGCCAGCUGACACGGCUGCCGCGCCUUCCAGUCCCAGCCUCAGCCCCACAGGCUCUCUGGGGCUCAAGUUCACCCUCUUCUCUUUCCCCGAUGCCCCUUCGGAGCCACGGACGCGGCCCGUGUCCUCCUCCAAACCCCACACGUCUGCCGCUCGGGGUCUCCUGACUGCUCCUCGUCGGUCACUGUGUGGUCCUGGCUCGGGCCUCAUCGUCUGUGCCCGACGUGACCUCAGCGGCCGCGGUUAGGUUCCAGAACUUGUAAAGAACUGUUCAACUCGGUAAAGAGAACAAUUUGAGUUCUUAGGAGACGGACGCGUGCUUUGAACGGAUGCUUCGCGAAAAGAAGGUACAGAAACGGCCAGUGAACACACAGAGGUGUUAAAACCACAAUGAGGUGUCACUCCAGACCCACCAGAAGGAUAACAUUACAAGGACGGACCACACGAGUGUUGGCGGGAGGCGGGGCGCCCGGGGCCCCAUGUGUGGCGGGGCUGGGGCACGGUGGCACGGUCACUUCAGCACAUGCUGCAGAGGUUUGCAAUGAGUUUGAGCUUAUCCGUACAGAACGCCGCAGCCAGAAUGAGCCGCUUACCGCACGGCCCCCGCAAUCCCACCGCUAGAUGUUUCCCUGGGAGAGACGAAAACUCAGUCCGCUAGGAAGACUUUGCGUGCAGCGGUUUUUAGCAGCUUUAUUCGUGACCUCCCAAACCACCGGGUAGAGAACGGAUAAACCCCUCGAGGUAGAUCCACACGACGGAACGUAUCGCUCAGUAAUAAAAAGGAACAAACUUGAUUUUCUCAACUGCGUGCACAACUGAAGCCAUUCAGCUGAGCGCCAGAAGUCAGGCGUGUGCGCUGACUGAUGUCCCGUUUGUGGGAUUUCAGGCCAGGGAAAAGGAGCCCCCCGUGACAUCCAGCAGACCAGUGGUGGCCCGUGGCCAGAGGGGGGCGUAGGGGACCGGCCACAAAGGGGCACGAAGAGAUGUCUUGGGUUGGUCGAAACGCUUCGUGUGCUGAUGGGGAUGUUGACACCGGUGAGAACUCACCGAAGGGCCCACUUCAAGUGGAUGAAUUUUUACGUCUGGAAAUCCUCCCUCAAUAGCACUGAUGAACAGCCUGUUUUCCCGUCUUCCUCAGUAAUCAGUCCUGCAGAGAUAGUACCUCCUAGAUCACAUGUCUCUCCCUUGUGUAAAGCUCCUGAGGUUCAGGGGCACCCGGGUGGCUCAGUCGGUUGAAUGUCCGACUUUGGCUCAGGUCACGAUCUCACAGUUUAUGAGUUCAAGCCCCACGUCGGGCUCUGUGCUGACGGCU